rnacentral:sRNA from 12 species
AUCGAAGCAGAAGAGUAGCGUCUUCUGCACACAGCCGCCAUUAGCGCCUGAAGAUGUAGCUGGAAUACAGGAUGACCGAUCCAUAAGCUUCAGGGUGAGUCUACUCU